UAAUAUAAUAAAAUGGAUAAAUUAAUUUGUGUUCAUCUAAUUAAAAGGAUAGGUGGCAUUUUUCUCUUAAAACUCUUGGAAGUGUUGCCGUAUUUUUUGAUCGAAUUUUUAUUUUUAUUACAAUGUCUCUAAUGGGUUGUACGAAAAUUAAUUUGUAACGGACGAUAAUUUUGUUGGUCACAGAUAAUUUCAUUAUGCAAGCAUCCAUGGGAAUUAAGUCUUUUUGUUCGCGCUGGCACGUAGUGUAUCUUUCUAUUUAUUUCGUUCCCACUGGAUUAAUGAAGUUUGCAAAAUGACUUAUUCAAAGUUUACUGCACUAAUGAUACGCCGUUUUAAAGAGAUGUAACUUUAUCUUUCUCAGGACAACAAUUAUUUUUUUCUAAAAAUCAAUUGACCAAAACUGUACGAUUAAAUGGCGUGUAAAGGCUCGCGUUUGUUUGAAAAUAGUAUUCUCUGAUGAUAAACGUGUGAUUAUGAAGCAUGAAUGACGUUUGGAUAAAGACACUCAACUAAAAGUUUUAAAUAAAGUACGUGUCCCAACAAACUCGAUUCUGUCUGUCAAUGAAGAAUUGUAAAGGAAAGGCGAAGUAUCAAUACAGAAGUGACAGUAUCAACACCAAUUUGCUUUCUUUAAAAUUUUUUGUCUUAGUAAUAACUCAGAGAUCAAUGAGUAGCUAACAAGCGUUAAAAAUUGUACGUUGCCAGGUUAAAUCUUAGAUUCUUUCUGCGUAGUGUUAGCCAAACCUUUUUUCAGAAUACAUAUCGUUUCUCGUUAACAGGAAAUACUGGUGACAUUAAAAGAGGAGAAAAAAUAUGAAGUGUUUUUAAUUUUUUGCGCGCGGAAAAAUGCAAUACAAGUUAUAGGUGUGUCAUUUCAACUAACUUGUAUGUAAUCUAUAUAGUAAUACGCUUGUUUCGUGUGUUUGUAACAGGCAAAGUGGAUGUGUUGUUUUUUGUAAAGAAAGAAAAAAAAGUCGCAGCAACAUGUCACUUUUGCUAAACUUUUAUUUUUAUUCUGUCCUUUGUGUGCUUUUUCAAAUUGAUUUAAAAUUUGUUUUAAGAAAGUCACUGUUAAUUUAUUUUAUUGUUCUCAUGAAAACCUUUGUGUAAUGAUAACGCUCAAAUUUGUUAUAUUUGUGGCGUUGUUAUUGCUUUUAGACAAGCUUUAUGUGUGUUGCACAAUUUAAUAUUUAAAAAAGAAAUCAGAAAAUUACGCUCUAUUGUUGCGUUAUUAGGCCAUAAUGAACUUUGUCAUUGUUUGUUUUAAAUAAAAACGCUAAAGUUUUCCAUGUAGGUCCUUAGCUAAUACCAAUACCCCUCUAAUUAGUAUCUUGGUGUUCAUGACUGGAGCUUUUCUGUACGUCUCCACAAAUUAGUAGUCUUUCUGUUUGAUUCAUGUGAAUGUGGUUUGUAACAAAUGACUAUGAACAUAUCGGUGAAAACAUUAUUAGGAUACAACAAAGAAAUACGGGUUGACAAAAGCUACGAUAACACUGUAACAAUUAACAUCAACAUAAGCUUACUUUCCCCUUUCAUGCUGCCAUUAUUAUUUUUCUCGUCUUUGCGUAUAUUAUCCAUUAUUGCU